rnacentral:rRNA from 1 species
AUUGAACGCUGGCGGAAUGCUUUACACAUGCAAGUCGAACGGGCUUAAGGAGCUUGCUCUUUAAGUUAGUGGCGAACGGGUGAGUAAUAUAUCGGAACGUAUCCAAUAAUGGGGGAUAACUAAUCGAAAGGUUGGCUAAUACCGCAUACGCCCUACGGGGGAAAGCUAGGGACCUUCGGGCCUGGCGUUAAUGGAGCGGC